ACGGAAGGCAGCAGUGGGGAAUAUUGCACAAUGGGCGCAAGCCUGAUGUAGCGACGCCGCGUGAGCGAAGAAGUAUUUCGGUAUGUAAAGCUCUAUCAGCAGGGAAGAAAAUGACGGUACCUGACUAAGAAGCUCCGGCUAAAUACGUGCCAGCAGCCGCGGUAAUACGUAUGGAGCAAGCGUUAUCCGGAUUUACUGGGUGUAAAGGGAGCGUAGACGGAACAGCAAGUCUGAUGUGAAAGGCAGGGGCUCAACUCCUGGACUGCAUUGGAAACUGUUGAUCUUGAGUGCCGGAGAGGUAAGCGGAAUUCCUAGUGUAGCGGUGAAAUGCGUAGAUAUUAGGAGGAACACCAGUGGCGAAGGCGGCUUACUGGACGGUAACUGACGUUGAGGCUCGAAAGCGUGGGGAGCAAACAGGAUUAGAUACCCUGGUA
rnacentral:rRNA from 1 species